UGUUGGCUUGCAAGUCCAUUGCCAAGGAUAAAUUGAUGACAGUUGAUGAUGUGCGCAGUGUUAAGCUUGAGAUUGAAAUAAUGUCUAGAUUGUCUGGGCAUCCAAAUGUUGUAAAUCUAAAGGCAGUCUACGAGGAGGAAGAAUGUGUCCACUUAUUAAUGGAGUUAUGUGCUGGUGGGGAGCUUUUCCACCAGCUCGAAAAGCAUGGCAGGUUUUCGG
rnacentral:misc_RNA from 1 species